rnacentral:rRNA from 1 species
UGGGGAAUAUUGGACAAUGGGCGCAAGCCUGAUCCAGCCAUGCCGCGUGGAUGAAGAAGGCCCUAGGGUUGUAAAGUCCUUUCGACGGAGACGAUAAUGACGGUAUCCGUAGAAGAAGCCCCGGCUAAUUUCGUGCCAGCAGCCGCGGUAAUACGAAAGGGGCUAGCGUUGUUCGGAAUUACUGGGCGUAAAGCGCACGUAGGCGGUCGUGUAAGAUGGGGGUGAAAUCCCGGAGCUCAACUCCGGAACUGCCUUCAUGACUGCAUGGCUAGAGGAUGCGAGAGGUUGGCGGAAUUCCGAGUGUAGAGGUGAAAUUCGUAGAUAUUAGGAAGAACACCAGUGGCGAAGGCGGCUCACUGGUCCGGUACUGACGCUGAGGUGCGAAAGCGUGGGGAGCAAACAGGAUUAGAUACCCAAGUAGUCCCUGAGCGGGCUGGCAAGGCGCAU